rnacentral:snRNA from 1 species
CUAUGUUGGACUUAGAAUAA